UGGGGAAUAUUGCACAAUGGGCGCAAGCCUGAUGCAGCCAUGCCGCGUGUGUGAAGAAGGCCUUCGGGUUGUAAAGCACUUUCAGCGGGGAGGAAGGCGGUGAGGUUAAUAACCUCAUCGAUUGACGUUACCCGCAGAAGAAGCACCGGCUAACUCCGUGCCAGCAGCCGCGGUAAUACGUAGGUGGCAAGCGUUGUCCGGAUUUAUUGGGCGUAAAGCGAGCGCAGGCGGUUUCUUAAGUCUGAUGUGAAAGCCCCCGGCUCAACCGGGGAGGGUCAUUGGAAACUGGGAGACUUGAGUGCAGAAGAGGAGAGUGGAAUUCCAUGUGUAGCGGUGAAAUGCGUAGAUAUAUGGAGGAACACCAGUGGCGAAGGCGGCUCUCUGGUCUGUAACUGACGCUGAGGCUCGAAAGCGUGGGGAGCAAACAGG
rnacentral:rRNA from 1 species